rnacentral:sRNA from 1 species
UAUUUUUUUUUGUGCUAAUUUUUAUGUGAUUAAGAUUUAAUUGAUUUCGUAAAUAAAAUAUUAAAUUGUUUACGAACUUAUUUGUUUAUAAUUUAGUAAUAGAUAGAUAUUUGAAUAUUCAGUAUAUUUUGCUUUAGUUUAGGAAAUCUUUGAUGACCCGUCUUUAGAUCCAAUAAGCCCUAUAAUCUAGAUAUUAACCUGCUGUAUACCGCAAGUAGGCUUAUAUUUUAGUUAAACUAAAAACUUUUAUUGUAAAGAUGAUUUAAAAAUAUAUGAUAUUAUUUUAUUUGAUUUUAAAUGUAUAGUAAACUGUGAGUUGUAUAUGUUUUGUUGAUAUUAUCUAUAUUGUUUAGUGUUUAAGAUUAUACACUUGUAGUUUGAUUGUUAAUUUAAGAGUUUGACAUGUAGUAUACCAUCUUGUAUUAAUAUCGAUCUAAACCCGUUAAUUCUAGGAUUUUCCAGCUUGUAUUAAAAAUUGAAUCACAUCUAAUAUGUUAUUAAUUAUUGUAGUAUAUAAGAUUAUAAAUUUUCAAUAUAAUAUGUAUGAAAUUGAAUAUAAAUAUUUCAAAUUAUGACCCGUUACUCAGUAGAAAGUUUUCUUAAAUCUAUUUUUCAUCCGUUAUAAUAUUUUUCAUGUAUUGAACAGUUUAUAUUCGUUUUUAAAAUUCAAAUUAUGACAUAUGCGAAAAAAACUCUAAUUAUUUUUUUAUAAUGAUGAUAUUAUUUUUCGGCAAAAAUAGAAUCAUAUAAAGAUGAGAAGUGAAAUAUAAUAAUUAAUAAAAAAAUUAAUAUGAUAAUUUAGAUAUCAAAUCUAAUUUGUUGAUUUUAAUUGGUUACUUUUUUGGAACUU